UACGUAGGGUGCAAGCGUUGUCCGGAAUUAUUGGGCGUAAAGAGCUCGUAGGCGGUUUGUCGCGUCUGCUGUGAAAACUCGGGGCUUAACCCCGGGCCUGCAGUGGGUACGGGCAGACUAGAGUGCGGUAGGGGAGACUGGAAUUCCUGGUGUAGCGGUGAAAUGCGCAGAUAUCAGGAGGAACACCGGUGGCGAAGGCGGGUCACUGGCCAUAUACUGACGCUGAAACACGAAAGCGUGGGGAUCAAACAGG
rnacentral:rRNA from 1 species